AAACCUUUUAAUGGUCAUGCUUGUCACUUCCCCUGGCAACGCGUCAACAUGGUGCCUUUUCAGCUAACAAAAAGUAGGAUAAUGCAUGAAGAAAUUAUGCCGAAAAAACAUGAGGCCUCCAAACGUAAAAAUAAAGCCCAGAGUGAGACACUGAAGACCAGCACUGAGGCCAUCACAGAUCCAAACACAGACCCCAGUACUGUCUCGUACCCUGGAACACCUAUCAACCAGGACAUAGUGAAGGAGAAGAAAAAGAAGAGGGCUAUUAUACUGACCAAAGAUGAGAAGAACAUGGCCGCCUUAGAGAAAACCUGCCAGGCCUUUAGGUCCGACCAGACGGAGUAUGAGCGGUUUCUGGAUCACAUGACUCUCUGGCUCCAGGAGCACCAGGAACAGGCAGUGGAGCUGUUCAGCCUGUGUGAUACAGACAGCCCUGGUACCAUCCCUUUGAGCUGGGUAAUCCAUCCCUCUUCUGGUCUGUUACACCCUCAUUCCCAGCCAAAUGACCCAAUAUCUGCUGGAAAAUCUAUCAAAGCUUUCAUCUGGGGCUCAUGGCUGCAAUUAAGAUCACUAGAGAGAAGCUACAGCCCAGUCCUAACUGUCAGCUGGGAUUGUGGAGCCCACCACCUCCUGAGACAAACAGGUUCAUUCUUCUGAGUAUCAGACUUAUACCAUUUGUCUACGGAGGAGCCCAUCCAGGGAGCUUUGAGGUGGUUUCUUCCCAGGAGCACCAGGGUGUCCAGCCUGUUCAGGGUGAUCGAGGAGCAGGAUGGGAUCAAGACCACCAGCCUGCAGGUGUUCAGAACCAGAGUUCCCUCCCAGGAGUCCUUCCUACCACCAGACAGCUCUCUGGGGAAGUGUGGCUUCACUGGAGGCCCUGAGGACUCACCCAGACAGGCAACACUGUUCUAUGACUACAGGCUGGAGUUCACUGACUGCCCCAUCCUCAACUGUGACCACUACUUUGGUUCUAAGUGACCUCAGAUUGGGGAGGACUACUUUGGUUCUAAGCAACCUCAGAUUGGGGAGGACUACUUUGCAUCAAGGCUGUCUAGGUGACCUGUAUAACUUAUAGUAUCAGCUGUGUAACUUACUAUAUCAGCACUUUUUUGAUGUACAGAUUUAUCCUUGUGUGACUAGCACUAUGAAGCAAUUACAGCUGAUAAUUGGCUGUGUUUAGCUAAUUAUUAAGUCUGAUAGUUAAAAGUACAUUCAUGUCAGCGUUAUACCAGGGGAGAAAAUGGAUGACUUGGGCAGAACACUCCUCACAAUCAGCAG
ensembl:lncRNA